CCAUGCUAGUUGUACGGGUUUAGACCCGUAGCAAAUAGCUCCGUAACACGUGGUCAAACUACCCUCUGGACCGGGAUACCCUCGGGAAACUGAGGUCAAUCCCGGAUACUGCUUUCAUGUUGGAACACAGAAAGUCGGAAACGGUCCGCCGCCGGAGGACGUGACUGCGGCCGAUUAGGUAGACGGUGGGGUAACGGCCCACCGUGCCGAUAAUCGGUACGGGUUGUGAGAGCAAGAACCCGGAGACGGUAUCUGAGACAAGAUACCGGGCCCUACGGGGCGCAGCAGGCGCGAAACCUUUACACUGCACGCCAGUGCGAUAAGGGGACCCCGAGUGCGAGGGCAUACAGUCCUCGCUUUUCGUGACCGUAAGAAGGUCUCAGAAUAAGAGCUGGGCAAGACCGGUGCCAGCCGCCGCGGUAAUACCGGCAGCUCGAGUGAUAGCCACUAUUAUUGGGCCUAAAGCGUCCGUAGCCGGCCGAACAGGUCCGUCGGGAAAUCCACCCGCUCAACGGGUGGACGUCCGGCGGAAACCAGUCGGCUUGGGGCCGGGAGACCAGAGAGGUACGUCCGGGGUAGGAGUGAAAUCCUGUAAUCCUGGACGGACCACCGGUAGCGAAAGCGUCUCUGGAGAACGGACCCGACGGUGAGGGACGAAAGCUUGGGUCUCGAACCGGAUUAGAUACCCGGGUAGUCCAAGCUGUAAACGAUGCUCGCUAGGUGUGGCGUUGGCUACGAGCCAGCGCUGUGCCGUAGGGAAGCCGAGAAGCGAGCCGCCUGGGAAGUACGUCCGCAAGGAUGAAACUUAAAGGAAUUGGCGGGGGAGCACUACAACCGGAGGAGCCUGCGGUUUAAUUGGACUCAACGCCGGACAUCUCACCGGCACCGACAG
rnacentral:rRNA from 1 species